rnacentral:rRNA from 1 species
CCCUUAGAUGUCCGGGGCCGCACGCGCGCUACACUGAAGGAAUCAGCGUGGCUCUGUCCCUGGUCCGAAAGGAUUGGGAAACCCGUUGAAUCUCCUUCGUGGUAGGGAUCGGAGCUUGCAAUUGUUCUCCGUGAACCAGGAAUUCCCAGUAAGCGCAAGUCAUAAGCUUGCGUUGAUUACGUCCCUGCCCUUUGUACACACCGCCCGUCGCUACUACCGAUUGAACGUUUUAGUGAGGUAUUUGGACUGGACCUUCGGAGGUUCGCGCCUCCGUUGCUGUUCGGGAAGACUCCCAAACUUGAGCGUUUAGAGGAAGUAAAAGUCGUAACA